rnacentral:rRNA from 1 species
CCUACGGGUGGCAGCAGUGGGGAAUAUUGCACAAUGGGGGAAACCCUGGUGCAGCGACGCCGCGUGAGUGAAGAAGUCUUUCUGUAUGUAAAGCUCUAUCAGCAGGGAAGAAAUACCUACCUUUGGGUCGCCCUACGGUACCUGACUCAGAAGCCCCGACUAACUACGUGCCAGCAGCCGCGGUAAUACGUAGGGGGCAAGCGUUUUCCGGAUUUACUGGGGGUAAAGGGAGCGUAGACGGCAGCACAAGUCUGAAGUGAAAUGCCGGGGCUUAACCCCGGAACUGCUUUGGAAACUGUGAAGCUAGAGUGCAGUAGAGGUAAGUGGAAUUCCUAGUGUAGCGGUGAAAUGCGUAGAUAUUAGGAGGAACACCAGUGGCGAAGGCGGCUUACUGGACUGUAACUGACGUUGAGGCUCGAAAGUGUGGGGAGCAAACAGGAUUAGAUACCCGUGUAGUC